rnacentral:rRNA from 1 species
UACGGGGGGGGCAAGCGUUGUUCGGAGUUACUGGGCGUAAAGGGCUCGUAGGCGGCCAACUAAGUCGAACGUGAAAUCCCUCAGCUUAACUGGGGAACUGCGUCCGAUACUGAUUGGCUUGAAUCCGGAAGAGGGAUGCGGAAUUCCAGGUGUAGCGGUGAAAUGCGUAGAUAUCUGGAGGAACACCGGUGGCGAAGGCGGCAUCCUGGGUCGGUAUUGACGCUGAGGAGCGAAAGCCAGGGGAGCAAACGGG